AUUAUUACUAAUGCUUGUGAGCCCUCUUUGCCGAGAACUCCGCUAUCCAAGUACUAUGGCUAUGAUGGUCGAAGGUGAGUGUACCGUUGAUUUAUUGGGAGUUUCGGGAAGAAAGGCUCUAGAUGCGUGCGUUAAAGUAAUCCUAGUCGAACGAGCCUGGAAGAAAACUUGUCCAAGGUCGAACAUGUACGACGACCUGUCCGAAGAGCCAAAGGUUGAAGAUUUGAUGGAAGCAAACCAUACAACCAUCGAUCGAGAUUUGCUCUGCGAAAGGACUCCCUGCAUUCAGAAAUUGUAUAUGGAUGAACAUGGAGCAAAAGAGCUCUGUGGACAUAACAGAAGCGAAGUUCGCGAGGCUACUUCCAAACACAAAAGGGGAAUGAAGCAACACGUUACUGAACUCCGAGCUAAUGACUCAAUUAGUGAACACACCGAACACGAAAGACUCGAAGCUACUUGUAAGGGUUUAAAGGAAACAAACAAGGGUGUAGACGAGCUCGGAGCCGAAGGCAUUGGUGGAUACGACGGAAGAAAAGGAAUCGAAACCAAUUGUGACCGUGUAAAGGAACUGAAGCAUCCUGUGCAUGGCUCUGGGUUUAUUAUUCAUGACCAUGUCAUUGUCACCAGCAAACAUGUAAUUAAACCAGUUUUAAACGAUCAAGGAGAAGGAUACGAAGUCUAUAUUUCCAAUGCCACCUUUGGUAUUCUCCCAUGCAAGGUUUUAUAUGUUGACGAACGCCAGGAUUUGGCAAUACUCCUUUGCCAACAACUUAAUUUAGAGAAAAAUGGAAUCCGUUCCUUGUUGCUGACGAACCAUUCGUUGUCACCAGUUGUGCCAAUUUUUUGUUUUGGUUAUCCCUUGAGUUAUAAAGGUGACAGAGCACUUGCUGUUUUUGGCAAAGUCUGUUCACAAGAGACUUCAUCAGACUCUCCACUUGUCCCACUAGAUUGCCCUCUUGACUCAGGAAAUUAUGGCAGCCCAGCACUCUGUUGGAUAAGUGAUCAGUUAAAAGUAGUUGGUGUGAUAACACAGAAAAACAUUCAUGGGAUUCAAACUCAGAAUUGGAAAGAUGGCAUCAAAUGUUUACAGGAAUCAUUGCCGAUUAUUGCCAAUCCUCAAAUACAGCGCUACCAAACAGCACCUUUGUUGACUUCUGACAUAGCUUCAGAGUAUUUGGGGAUACAUAGGCUAUAUGACAUUCUGAAGACACACAGUCCCUUUUGUGUAAUUCCAGGAAUUUGCUUAGUUGAUUUUAUUAAAACCUUUGCCAACAAACAUGAAGGCAAGCAUGAAGAAGAGUUAAGGGAGAUAAUCAAUUGCUUUGAUAUUCUUUCUUAGUAAUCAUUAUGAACUGCAUUUUAACAAUAGAUUCUGUUGCUGUGCACCUGUUCAGUAAUAGAUCACAGAUGAUGUCAAAAUGUGGUAAGAAAGUAGCUCACAAUACUUUGAUGUCUUCUGUGAUCUAUAGCUGUAUGGACCAACAGCAACAUGCAAUCUAUUUGUUUUAUAAAGUAAGGAAGAAAGAAUUGGUAAUGGCAGAUCAAGAUGUGCACAUGAGACUACAAACCUUAAAGGAAAAAAGGCUCUAAAAAUGUUCCAACCUUCGGAAAAUUUGUUUUUGGGAGGCUGAGGUGGAUUUUUCAAGUCAUGGCUCACAACCAUCUCUGGCCUUUUUGCCUUACAAGUCUGUGGUACAUAGUAUGUAGGCAUGUGUCUGGACAGUGGUUAUAGUCUUGCCUCAAUCAUCUCUGGUUUUAUACUUCUUUUAGCUGUGAUCUAGUGGGAAUUUUUCCAAUUGCCUCUUUGGGCUUGAAGUGCUUAGUGGAGGAUAAACUUUGGUAGAAUUUAUUGAUCACAUGGCCCCCAAAUCCUUCACCACUGCCAGUUCAUUGUUUAUUUAUUUAUCUUUCAGUCUGACCAAUUCAUUUACCUCCCAAAAAAUGUGUGGGUAUUGUCUCAUGAGUUUGAACUGGUGCCGUUUUCUUCAUGUUCAUGUGUUAUUCUAAACGAGUGGUGUCAGCUUCAUUAUGUCUUGUUUAUUUCAGUAGAAUACUUCUACCAUGCAAAAUGAAUUUUGAAUUGAAGUGUACUUUGAAGUAUGAGAAGUGUGAUACAACAAAUAGAUAAUUACUCAAGGGGCUGGAACUCCUUGUUUCUUUGGAAUGUUAACUACAGUAUUUCUGUCAUAUUUGAAAACAAAUUUCAGGUUGAAAUGUUUUCAAACUAGUUUGACUUGCAUUUCACGUUGCCAAAAAUGUCUAGAUCCUUCAAUUUGUAUUUCUUGAUUGAGGCUGAUGAUAGGAAUUAACUUUUAUGUUCUCUGUUGUUUAGGGAGAUGUGAAAUGGCCCCAAUACAUGCAGUUGGUACUAUUGACAGAAUGAGUAGGUGUGACAUUUAAUGUGGCAAGCUGGUAUUCACAAGAUUACAGGCUGGUGCUAUUUUUUUCAUCUGAAAAAUUUACUCAUGCUUACUUUUACCCAAUUGCACCUGAAAUCAUGUGAUAUCAAUACAAAACAUCAGAGUACCUUUAGUUCUUGUACAGUCUUCAUGUAAACGCAAGUGCAGAUGCCAUAUUGGAGCAAAUGUUGUCACCUCAUCCAACUGGAGAGCUGAAUAUGUCACACAAACUUGAAAGAUGAUAGUGUUUAAAAGUUUAUAAAGAGCCAUCAUAAGGGCAAGAGAGGUACUAAUAACUUGUCGUUAGCCUCUACAGGAAGCAUGUUGUAGGACAAAUCCACUGGCAUACAUUUCAGUUUAGCCUCAUUAUAAAAGAUUUCCUUACCACAAGGCAAAGUUGCUCUUGGUUUCUGUGAUUUUCUUGACUGAAAAUACAUUUUUGACAAAUACCCAUCUAUUUCAUUUAUUUCAGGGAAUUCUGUAAUUAUGUUGUGAAUAUUUAACAACCAUUCACCAAAGUACAAAGUAACACUGGCACAGAAAGCUAAAAUAGAGGGUGUUUUUAAAAGGCUGUAAUAUUGUUAUGGUAACUUGAUGCUAAUUAAAACAUUUUUUGAAAAAACUGGGCAUUGUUUUAUACCAUUUGU